rnacentral:rRNA from 1 species
UACGAAGGGGGCUAGCGUUGUUCGGAAUCACUGGGCGUAAAGGGCGCGUAGGCGGCCGAUCAAGUCGGGGGUGAAAGCCUGUGGCUUAACCACAGAAUGGCCUUCGAUACUGUUUGGCUUGAGACCGGAAGAGGUUAGUGGAACUGCGAGUGUAGAGGUGAAAUUCGUAGAUAUUCGCAAGAACACCAGUGGCGAAGGCGGCUGACUGGCCCGACACUGACGCUCAUGCACGAAAGCGUGGGGAGCAAACAGG